GCUCGUGGAUCGAUGAAGACCGCAGCUAAAUGCGCGUCAGAAUGUGAACUGCAGGACACAUGAACACCGACAAGUUGAACGCAUAUUGCACACCGUACAACAGUAUGAUGCACUCAUUUUUGAGUACCUGUAUUUUUCCAUGCAACUGUACGUGCGUGCGCAUCCCGCAACAGCGCUGGCGUGAGAACAGGCGCACCACGUACGCGUAGAGACGUUUUCCCGAGCCUUCAGUAAAACGUGGAAGAUAGUCUUGCGCGCCCCGCCCCGGGCGCGGUUGAUGAAUACAUCCCAUAGACCAACGCGCUUGGUUAUGUUGUAUUUCAUCGGCAGGACACCAACAACCAGUAGGCCUCAAAUAAUGCGACUACCCC
rnacentral:rRNA from 1 species